rnacentral:rRNA from 1 species
UGGGGAAUUUUGGACAAUGGGCGAAAGCCUGAUCCAGCAAUGCCGCGUGUGUGAAGAAGGCCUUCGGGUUGUAAAGCACUUUUGUCCGGAAAGAAAUCCUUGGCUCUAAUACAGUCGGGGGAUGACGGUACCGGAAGAAUAAGCACCGGCUAACUACGUGCCAGCAGCCGCGGUAAUACGUAGGGUGCAAGCGUUAAUCGGAAUUACUGGGCGUAAAGCGUGCGCAGGCGGUUUGCUAAGACCGAUGUGAAAUCCCCGGGCUCAACCUGGGAACUGCAUUGGUGACUGGCAGGCUAGAGUAUGGCAGAGGGGGGUAGAAUUCCACGUGUAGCAGUGAAAUGCGUAGAGAUGUGGAGGAAUACCGAUGGCGAAGGCAGCCCCCUGGGCCAAAUACUGACGCUCAUGCACGAAAAGCGUGGGGGAGCAAAACAGGAUUAGAUACCCUGGUAGUCCACGCCCUAAAACGAUGUCAACUAGUUGUUGGGGAUUCAUUUCCUUAGUAACGUAGCUAACGCGUGAAGUUGACCGCCUGGGGAGUACGGUCGCAAGAUU